UACGUAGGUGACAAGCGUUGUCCGGAUUUACUGGGCGUAAAGAGCGCGCAGGCGGUCGUUCAAGUCGAGUGUGAAAGCCCUCGGCUCAACUGGGGAGGGUCACUCGAUACUGAUCGACUCGAAGGCAGGAGAGGGAAGUGGAAUUCCCGGUGUAGUGGUGAAAUGCGUAGAUAUCGGGAGGAACACCAGUGGCGAAGGCGACUUCCUGGCCUGUUCUUGACGCUGAGGCGCGAAAGCUAGGGGAGCAAACGGG
rnacentral:rRNA from 1 species